AUAAAUAAAUUAUUAAGAGCACUUGAUGGAUGCCUUGGCGUUAAGAGGCGAUGAAGGACGUGGCAGGCUGCGAUAAGCUGUGGGGAAUUGUCAACAAAUUUUGAUCCGCAGAUUUCCGAAUGGGGAAACCCAACUAGUUUAGCUAGUUAUUACGUACUAAGUAUGUAAAGCAAACUUGGUGAACUGAAAUAUCUAAGUAGCCAAAGGAAAAGAAAUCAACCGAGAUUCUGUUAGUAGUGACGAGCGAAAGCGGAAAAGGCUAGUGAUUUAAGAAUAAGAAUUAGAAUACUCUGGAAAUAGUAACCAUAGAAGGUGAUAGUCCUGUAUAAGUAGAAAGUUUUUAAAUCCUUGAGUAGAGCGGGGCACGUGAAAUCCUGUUUGAAUAUGGGGGGACCAUCCUCCAAGCCUAAAUACUCCUUAACGACCGAUAGUGAACAAGUACCGUGAGGGAAAGGUGAAAAGAACCCCGGGAGGGGAGUGAAAUAGAAUCUGAAAUCAAGUGCUUACAAACAGUUGGAGCUCUAUAUCAAUUUAUUGAUAUUUAGAGUGACAGCGUACCUUUUGCAUAAUGGGUCAGCGAGUUAAUCUAUGAAGCAAGCUUAAGCCGUUAGGUGUAGGCGUAGCGAAAGCAAGUCUGAAUAGGGCGUUUUAGUUUUAUGGAUUAGACCCGAAACCAAGUGAUCUAGUCAUGACCAGAUUGAAGGUGUGGUAAAACACACUGGAGGAUCGAACCAGUUAAUGUUGCAACAUUAUUGGAUGAGUUGUGAUUAGGGGUGAAAGGCCAAUCAAACUUGGAAAUAGCUGGUUCUCCGCGAAAUCUAUUUAGGUAGAGCGUUGUAUGUAUGUUGUUGGGGGUAGAGCACUGGAUAGACUAGGGGGAUUCACCGUCUUACCAAAUCUAACUAAACUCCGAAUACCAACAAUUAAUUAUACAGCAGGCACACUACGGGUGCUAAGUCCGUGGUGAAGAGGGAAACAACCCAGAUCACUAUCUAAGGUCCCAAAAUUACAGCUAAGUGGGGAAGGAAGUAGAAAAACCAUUACAGCUAGGAGGUUGGCUUGGAAGCAGCCAUCCUUUAAAGAAAGCGUAACAGCUCACUUGUCUAAAUAAGUUUUUCUGCGCCGAAAAUGUACCGGGGCUAAAGCUGUAUACCGAAGAUGUGAGUGCUUAUUGAUUUCGAUCAAUAGGCGCGGUAGCGGAGCGUUCCGUAAGUCUGUGAAGGUGGUUUGUGAAAACUGCUGGAGAUAUCGGAAGUGAGAAUGCUGACAUAAGUAGCGUAAAAGAGUGUGAAAAACACUCUCACCAAAAAUCUAAGGGUUCCUACGUUAAGUUAAUCUGCGUAGGGUUAGUCGGUUCCUAAGGCGAGUCCGUAAAGGAGUAGUCGAUGGCAAUUAGGUUAAUAUUCCUAAACCUCUUAAGUGUGACGGGUUUCGUAUUUGUAUAGAUCUUAUUGGAUUGAUCUAUGCUUAAAAGAAGCUCCAGGAAAUAGCACUUAUAUUUAUGAGGCCGUACCGCAAACCGACACUGGUGGAUGAGUAGAGUAUACUAAGGUGUUGAAAGAAUGAUGUUGAAGGAACUCGGCAAAUUAUACCUGUAACUUCGGAAGAAGGGUAACCUGCUUUUAGGCAACUAUGAGUAGGUGGCACAAAAUAGGGAGUAGCGACUGUUUACUAAAAACACAGGACUCUGCAAACACGUAAGUGGAAGUAUAGGGUCUGACGCCUGCCCGGUGCUGGAAGGUUAAUAGGAAGGGUGCAAGCUCCGAAUUGAAGCCCCAGUAAACGGCGGCCGUAACACUGACGGUCCUAAGGUAGCGAAAUUCCUUGUCGGGUAAGUUCCGACCCGCACG
rnacentral:rRNA from 2 species